rnacentral:rRNA from 1 species
CAAGUCGAACGAAACUUCUUUAUCACCGAGUGCUUGCACUCACCGAUAAAGAGUUGAGUGGCGAACGGGUGAGUAACACGUGGGCAACCUGCCCAAAAGAGGGGGAUAACACUUGGAAACAGGUGCUAAUACCGCAUAACCAUAGUUACCGCAUGGUAACUAUGUAAAAGGUGGCUAUGCUACCGCUUUUGGAUGGGCCCGCGGCGCAUUAGCUAGUUGGUGGGGUAAAGGCUUACCAAGGCGAUGAUGCGUAGCCGAACUGAGAGGUUGAUCGGCCACAUUGGGACUGAGACACGGUCCAAACUUAAACGGGAGGCAGCAGUAGGGAAUCUUCCACAAUGGGCGAAAGCCUGAUGGAGCAACGCCGCGUGGGUGAAGAAGGUCUCGGAUCGUAAAACCCUGUUGUUAGAGAAGAAAGUGCGUGAGAGUAACUGUUCACGUUUCGACGGUAUCUAACCAGAAAGCCACGGCUAACUACGUGCCAGCAGCCGCGGUAAUACGUAGGUGGCGAGCGUUAUCCGGAUUUAUUGGGCGUAAAGGGAACGCAGGCGGUCUUUUAAGUCUGAUGUGAAAGCCUUCGGCUUAACCGGAGUAGUGCAUUGGAAACUGGGAGACUUGAGUGCAUAAAGGAGAGUGGAACUCCAUGUGUAGCGGUGAAAUGCGUAGAUAUAUGGAAGAACACCAGUGGCGAAAGCGGCUCUCUGGUCUGUAACUGA